rfam:Apaloderma vittatum contig36893, whole genome shotgun sequence.
GGACUGAUUAGCUCAGUGGUUUGAGCGCGGCGCUGGCAACAAGGACUAACACCGACGUUGCAGGUUCGAUUCCCGCUCGGUCCC